UACUUGGAAUCCGAUAGCAGUUGCCCGUGGACCGAAACUGAAUUAACCUUCAAGGCGAACAAUGGAAGUUACCGAACAUCAAAGUUUCUGAACGCGUUGAAUUGCGCAUUAGCUAAGAUUUGAUUAAACACGAUUUGAGUGCGAUUCAAAAUAAAAUAAUACGUGUUUUUUAAAAAAGCAAUUGGAAAUAUUUUUGCACACUUUUGCAUUUUCUAAUCGAUUGCCGAGGUUCUUUCCUGUAUGCACAUUUCUGAGGUUCAUUGGACCAGAAAAUGCCUCAAACGACUCCAUUUGCAGCCAAGUUUACCCCGAACCCCUACAGUGGAACUCGCACUCACUACAAACAGGUGGAAGAGUGCAGACUACUCUACCACAACAACAACCUUGUGUCUGGGUCACUGGAGGCUCUUAUACAGCACCUUGUUCCCACUGUGGACUAUUACCCUGAUAGGUCCUACAUCUUCACCUUUCUGCUUAGCUCACGUCUCUUCCUGCAUCCAUUUGAGCUCAUGUCCAGAGUGUGCUAUUUGUGUGUGGAGCACCACAGGGUGGGUGACCCACAGAUUGAUAAGAAACGGAUCCGGGAUAUCGCUCCAAGAAUUGUACAGCUUCUCACAGAGUGGACGGAGACGUUUCCGUAUGACUUCAGGGAUGAACGUAUGAUGCGUAGCUUGAAAGAGAUGACGCACCGUCUCGCCCUCGGAGAUGAGUUGUCUCGGCGGGCCAUGCAAAGGCUUAUCCAGCGGCUUUUACGCAAGAUGACCAUCCUGGGACAGUAUGAGGAGACCAUUGCGACGCCUGCCGCCACACAAGAAAAACCGGCUUCUCAGAAAGCCAAGCAGCAUGUUGUGCGGAGGGAGGAGUGUGUUCUCUCUGUGUGUGAUGACCCCUUUGUCCUCGCUCAGCAGCUUACACACAUCGAGAUGGAGAGACUCAGUUACAUUGGCCCUGAAGAAUUCAUUCAAGCAUUUGUUCAGAAAAGACCCUCUGGCAGCCGCAAGAGUUUGUUCAGCAAAAGACGAGCCAGUAAUCUGGAGGCAUACGUUGAGUGGUUCAACAGGCUGAGCUAUCUGGUGGCCACUGAAAUCUGCUUGCCAGUGAAGAAGAAGCACAGGGCCCGUGUCUUGGAAUUCUUUAUUGACGUGGCACGAGAAUGCUUUAACAUUGGCAACUUCAAUUCAAUGAUGGCCAUUAUCACUGGGAUGAAUAUGAGCCCUGUGGCCAGGCUGAAGAAGACUUGGAGUAAAGUCAACACUGACAAGUUCGAGAUCCUGGAGCAUCAAAUGGACCCAUCCAAUAACUUCUACAACUAUCGCACAGCACUGCGGGGAGCCACUCAGAGGUCUAGCACAGCUCACACUGCCAGAGAGAAGAUUGUUAUCCCGUUCUUCAGCUUGUUCAUUAAGGACAUCUACUUCCUUAAUGAAGCCUGUGCCAGCCGAUUGCCCAACGGGCACAUCAACUUUGAGAAAUUCUGGGAGCUGGCUAAGCAGGUGAGCGAGUUUCUAGCAUGGAGGCAGGUGAUCUGUCCAUUUGAAAGGAACAGAACAACUCUGCAGUAUCUCAUCAGUAUCUCCAUUUUCACUGAAGAUGAGCUUCAGCUGGCCUCCUAUGAAAGUGAGGGGCCUGAGAACAGCGUGGAGAGAGACACACGUCGCUCUCUCAGGUGGUCACUAGCGCCAGAGACAUUCUGCACCGUAGAAAGAAAAGUCUCGGCUCAAAACUGGUGCAUCGGAAACAUUUUUUAAUUAGCUCAAUGCCGAUGAUCGCUUUAGGUGUGCAUUUCAGAAUUUCAAUUACUUGAGAUCAUCUCUUAGCAGGAUGUGAAUACUGCUUUUGGAUAUUUGAACUGGCCUUGAAUGAACAGGACAGUCAGUAAACUGAAAGACUGCCUCCUGAUGCAGGAGCUGAAUGGCUGCACACUGAUGUUUGUAUGUUUGUAAAUGUUUGUAAACCAUUUGUUUGAAUCAUGGCUUUUGCGUAAUUUUUAUUUUGGGUUUUUCCCCUCAUCAAAAGAGACUGGUUUCUCAUUACAGAAAAAUCAUUAUGUUAAAGGAAACAUACUCUUGUGUACCUCAUGUAAAAACAGUUGAAAUAAGCUUAGUGAAGUGUAUCGUGAGCCUGUGUUGUACAAAGAGCGUGUCGCUGGUCGACCUCUUCUGUUAUGCAGUGUAAGCUUUCUAGUGGGGUGUUUUUGUAUUUGCAGAACAGUUUGUUACAAUCUCAAAUAAUUGUUUUUGUAUGUUUUUGGUGACCCAAUUUGUGUUUAUACACAAUAUGUGUUAUAUAAAAAAGUCUAACCAGU